GAGCCUAGAACCAUGAAGCUCUUCCUUAUAACUUUCCUAAUGGCUUUCCUGGCUAUCCAGGCUAGAGCUGACAGCAGUUCUUCAUCUGAAGAGGAUAGUAGGUCUCAUGAACAUUCUGAACAUUCUGAAGAUCAUGAGAGUGCUGGAUAUGCUUCAAAUCCUGGAAGUGUUGGAGGUCCUGAGAAUCCUGGAUAUGAUCCAAAUCCUGGAAUUCCCUCAUAUUAAGAAAUCUUCAAAAUGCACCCUGAGGAGAACCUCAAUAAACACAGGUUUGCCUGGAAGACUGAUUCAAUCCUUCUAUGAAUCUACAAGUCUACUAAUUUGUGAAUCUCUCAAUCUGCCUACUUAGCAGCCUCUAUUAUUGAGCAUUAGACGGUAGCUCCAAGCUUGUUAUAUUAACAUGAAUCAUUCCCCCAAAGGGCUAAAGCUCUCCUUUAUACUCUCUAUAUAAUAAAUUCAGCUCACAGCAUAUUGGAUGUCUUUUG
rnacentral:lncRNA from 1 species